rnacentral:lncRNA from 1 species
CAAUUCCUCUCUGCUACAUGCAUCUCAUCAACCACUCCAGCAGCCAGCACACAUCGUUCUCCACCUUCGAGAAAACACAGACAUGCCCUCGACCCCCAAAUAAUUACCGGGGUCUCCUUGAAUGGCCUGGAGUUCAUUAUGUACACCAAACUGUCUUCAAGAUCACGAAGAUCUACUCGCUUCUGCUUCCCAUGUGCUGGGAUUUAAGGUGUGUACUGUACCUGGCUGGAAUAUGAUAGAAACAGAGCCCUCAUCCAGUGGUUGAUGGAAGCAGAGGCAGACACCCACAGAUAUACACUGAACUGAACUCUGGAACCUAGUUGCAGAGAGGGAAGAAUGAAGAUCAAAGGGCUCAGUACCAGGCUGGUGAAACCACAGAAACAGCUGGCCUGAACAAGGGGGAGCACAUGGACCCCAGACUUCUGUCUGGGAGGCAAGCACAGGACUGAUGCAGACUCCUGAACAUGGAUGUCAAUGAGGAGGCCUCUGUACUUUAGGGGGCCCCUGGAAGUGGAUUACUAUUUUUCCCUGGUGUAAGAAGGGACUUUGAGAGCCCAUCCCAAGCCUCUGCCUGAACACAUGGGGGAGGGCCUAGGUCCGGCCCAGGAUGGGUGGUAGACUUUG